GGCUACGAGCGGGUAGGACUGACUAGUACGAGAGGAACGUUGGUCCGGGAUUGAAAGCGUUGGUGCUUGGUGGUUUAUUGCCAUUGGGGCUUUGCCUUUGUCCUGGGGCUUACGGCUGAACGCCUCUAAGCCGGAAUCCCGUCCCACGACGUCCGCGUCUGCUUUUCCGAGACGGGCGACAGAACGAUUAGGCCCCUCCUCGCUCUUCCCGAGUGACUGGGGUGGUGUGUGUCCGACCUGUAUAUUUCGGCAGGUGUCUUUCGAAAGCAGGAAAAUCUGCUUGCAGACGACUUGGGUUUGUGCGAGUCGGGGUGUCGUACUCGGUAGAGCGGCCUGUUGUGGCUGCGAUGCGUUGAGACUUGUCCCUCGACUAGGAGAUUU
rnacentral:ncRNA from 1 species